rnacentral:rRNA from 1 species
GACGAACGCUGGCGGCGUGCUUAACACAUGCAAGUCGAACGGAAAGGCCCUGCUUUUGUGGGGUGCUCGAGUGGCGAACGGGUGAGUAACACGUGAGUAACCUGCCCUUGACUUUGGGAUAACUUCAGGAAACUGGGGCUAAUACCGGAUAGGAGCUCCUGCUGCAUGGUGGGGGUUGGAAAGUUUCGGCGGUUGGGGAUGGACUCGCGGCUUAUCAGCUUGUUGGUGGGGUAAUGGCUUACCAAGGCUUUGACGGGUAGCCGGCCUGAGAGGGUGACCGGCCACAUUGGGACUGAGAUACGGCCCAGACUCCUACGGGAGGCAGCAGUGGGGAAUAUUGCACAAUGGGCGGAAGCCUGAUGCAGCAACGCCGCGUGCGGGAUGACGGCCUUCGGGUUGUAAACCGCUUUCGCCUGUGACGAAGCGUGAGUGACGGUAAUGGGGAAAGAAGCACCGGCUAACUACGU